rnacentral:rRNA from 1 species
GGGCCGGACGAGACGCCCUAGAAAUAGGGACUCUUUGGACACUCGGUUACAGGUGGUGCAUGGUUGUCGUCAGCUCGUGUCGUGAGAUGUUGGGUUAAGUCCCGCAACGAGCGCAACCCUCGUCGCAUGUUGCCAGCACGUUAUGGUGGGGACUCAUGUGAGACUGCCGGGGUCAACUCGGAGGAAGGUGGGGAUGACGUCAAAUCAUCAUGCCCCUUAUGUCUUGGGCUUCACGCAUGCUACAAUGGCCGGUACAAAGGGCUGCGAUGUCGUAAGGCGGAGCGAAUCCCAAAAAGCCGGUCUCAGUUCGGAUUGAGGUCUGCAACUCGACCUCAUGAAGUCGGAGUCGCUAGUAAUCGCAGAUCAGCAACGCUGCGGUGAAUACGUUCCGCUUGUACACACCGAGG